rnacentral:rRNA from 1 species
GACGAACGCUGGCGGCGUGCCUAAUACAUGCAAGUAGAACGCUGAAGGAGGAGCUUGCUUCUCUGGAUGAGUUGCGAACGGGUGAGUAACGCGUAGGUAACCUGCCUGGUAGCGGGGGAUAACUAUUGGAAACGAUAGCUAAUACCGCAUAAGAGUAGAUGUUGCAUGACAUUUGCUUAAAAGGUGCAAUUGCAUCACUACCAGAUGGACCUGCGUUGUAUUAGCUAGUUGGUGAGGUAACGGCUCACCAAGGCAACGAUACAUAGCCGACCUGAGAGGGUGAUCGGCCACACUGGGACUGAGACACGGCCCAGACUCCUACGGGAGGCAGCAGUAGGGAAUCUUCGGCAAUAGACGGAAGUCUGACCGAGCAACGCCGCGUGAGUGAAGAAGGGUUUCGGAUCGUAAAGCUCGGUUGUAAGAGAAGAACGAGUGUGAGAGUGGAAAGUUCACACUGUGACGGUAUCUUACCAGAAAGGGACGGCUAACUACGUG